rnacentral:rRNA from 1 species
UAAAAAAUUUGGCGGUAUUUUAGUCUAUUCAGAGGAACCUGUUCUGUAAUCGAUAAUCCACGAUGGACCUUACUUAAAAUUGUAUUCAGUUUAUAUACCGUCGUUAUUAGAAUAUUUUAUAAGAAUGUUAAUUUUCAUAAUUUUUAAAAAGAAAAUAUAUCAGAUCAAGGUGUAGCUAAUAUUUAAGUAGAAAUGGGUUACAAUAAAUUUAUUUAAACGAAUAUAAAUUUGAAAUAUUUAUUGAAGGUGGAUUUGAUAGUAAAAUUAUAAAGAUUAUUAAUUUGAUUUUAGCUCUAAAAUAUGCCCACAUCGCCCGUCCCUCUUAUUAUUAAGGUAAGAUAAGUCGUAACAUAGUAGAUGUACUGGAAAGUGUACCUAGAAUGCAAUUUAAAGCUUAAUUAGUAAAGUAUUUCAUUUACAUUGAAAGGAUUUUUGUGCAAAUCAAUAUAAAUUGAAUAAUUUUUAUUUAUUAAUUUUAUUUUUGUUUAUUUUAAUUUAUUAAAAAUAAUUAUAUAAUUAAAUGUUUUAGUAUUUUAUAAAAAAAAAAUAAUUUAAAUUAUAGUUUAAUAGUAUUGUAAAAG